rnacentral:rRNA from 1 species
UACGUAGGGGGCAAGCGUUGUCCGGAAUCAUUGGGCGUAAAGAGCGUGUAGGCGGCCCGGUAAGUCCGCUGUGAAAGUCCAGGGCUCAACCCUGGGAUGCCGGUGGAUACUGUCGGGCUCGAGUCCGGAAGAGGAGUGUGGAAUUCCUGGUGUAGCGGUGAAAUGCGCAGAUAUCAGGAGGAACACCGAUGGCGAAGGCAGGUCUCUGGGCCACUACUGACGCUGAGAAGCGAAAGCGUGGGGAGCGAACAGG